rnacentral:rRNA from 1 species
UUCGGNUNUAAACCGCUUUUCUGCNNGAAUAACUNUUCGGAGUGAAGGUAAGGCAGGAAUAAGGGACCGCUAAUCACGUGCCAGAAGCGUCGGUAAUACGUGAGUCCCGAGUGUUAUCCGGAUUUACUGGGCGUAAAGAGUCUUAAGGCGGUUUGGAAAGUUUUUGGUUAANUUCUUGGGGCUUAACCUCAAGAUUGCCAGAAAUACUUCCAGACUUGAGGACGUUAGAGGCCAGCGGAACGCACGGUGUAGGGGUGAAAUCCGUUGAUAUCGUGCGGAACACCAAAAGCGAAGGCAGCUGGCUGGGGCGGUCCUGACGCUGAUUGACGAAAGCGUGGGGAGCGAAGAGGAUUAGAUACCCUCGUAGUCCACGCCGUAAACGAUGGACGCUAGCUGGUGGAAGUGUCGACCCUUUCACUGGCGAAGCUAACGCGUUAAGCGUCCCGCCUGGGAAGUACGCGGGCAACCGUAAAACUCAAAGGAAUAGACGGGGGUCUACACAAGCGGUGGACCACGUGGCUUAAUUCGACAACAAGCGAAGAACCUUACCAGGGCUUGACAUGCCAAGUGAAAGCUUAACGAAAGUUGAGCCUCCGCAAGGCACUUGGCACAGGUGCUGCAUGGUUGUCGUCAGCAGGUGCCGUGAGGUGCUCCCUUAAAUGGGGAAACCUGCGAAACCCUCGCCCUAUGUUUUAUUUGUCAUAGGGGACUGCCGCGGACAACGCGGAGGAAGAUGAGGACGACGCCAAAUCCGCAUGGCCCUUACGCUCUGGGCAGCACACGUGGUACAAUGGCCGGUACAAUGGGUUGCCAAGCGGUAACGCGGAGCUAAUCCCUUAAAACCGGUCCCAGUUCGGAUCGAGGUCUGCAACUCGACCUUGUGAAGCCGGAAUCGCUAGUAAUCGCGGAUCAGCUACGCCGCGAUGAAUAUGUCACUGGACCUUGUACACACCGCCCGU